rnacentral:tRNA from 1 species
GCCUGGGUGGCUCAGUCUGUUGAGCAUCUGACUUCGGCUCAGGUCAUGAUCUUGCGGUCUGUGAGUUCAAGCCCUGCCUCAGGCU